rnacentral:rRNA from 1 species
GUAUAGAACCUACCUUAUAUUGGGGGAUAGCCCAGAGAAAUUUGGAUUAAUACCCCAUGGUAUGUUGAAGUGGCAUCACUUUAAUAUUAAAGAUUUAUCGAUAUAAGAUGGCUAUGCGUUCUAUUAGCUAGUUGGUUAGGUAACGGCUGACCAAGGCUACGAUAGAUAGGGGUCCUGAGAGGGAGAUCCCCCACACUGGUACUGAGACACGGACCAGACUCCUACGGGAGGCAGCAGUGAGGAAUAUUGGACAAUGGAGGCAACUCUGAUCCAGCCAUGCCGCGUGCAGGAAGACUGCCCUAUGGGUUGUAAACUGCUUUUAUAGAGGAAGAAACCGCUCUACGUGUAGAGCUCUGACGGUACUCUACGAAUAAGGAUCGGCUAACUCCGUGCCAGCAGCCGCGGUAAUACGGAGGAUCCAAGCGUUAUCCGGAAUCAUUGGGUUUAAAGGGUCCGUAGCGGGCUUGUAAGUCAGUGGUGAAAGUUUGCGGCUCAACCGUAAAAUUGCCAUUGAUACUGCAGGUCUUGAAUCAUUAUGAAGUGGUUAGAAUAAGUAGUGUAGCGGUGAAAUGCAUAGAUAUUACUUAGAAUACCGAUUGCGAAGCAGAUCACUAAUAAUGUAUUGACGCUAAGGGACGAAAGCGUGGGUAGCGAACAGGAUUAGAUACCCUGGUAGUCCACGCCGUAAACGAUGGUCACUAGCUGUUUGGUUUUCGGACUGAGUGGCUAAGCGAAAGUGAUAAGUGACCCACCUGGGGAGUACGUUCGCAAGAAUGAAACUCAAAGGAAUUGACGGGGGCCCGCACAAGCGUGGAGCAUGUGGUUUAAUUCGAUGAUACGCGAGGAACCUUACCAGGGCUUAAAUGUAGUCUGACAGCUUUAGAGAUAGAGUUUUCUUCGGACAGAUUA